GCUAUGAACGAAACAAAUAUCCCUGCUCAGGGAAUUCACAAUAGAGUGAGGGGAAAUAAGCGAAUAAACAAUGAAUCUCUUGUUCUGAGGGAAGCCAUGUACAUCAUUAGCAGUUCUAUAAAGAGGAUCACAUGGCAAGAAACUGAAACAUUCUGCCAGCUGCCCUGUGAAAGAACUUGGAAGUAGACCCUCCAGCCCUAAUCAAGUCUUCAGAGACUGUACUCAGCCAACAAUUGACUGCAACCUCAUAAGAGACCCUGAGCCAGACCGCCCAACGAGAAACUGUGUGAGAUAAUGUUUGUUGUAUUAAGAUGCUAAAUUUGAGGGUCAUUUGUUAUACAAUGAGAGAAGUAGGAGGUAAGGGACUAUGAAAAGUUGGUAGAGUCAAGAAGUUGUAGGUUCCUGUGGUGGUCUAAAGUUUGUUAGAACAGGAUACUCAAAAGAAUGUGCUAAGAUAAGAGGUGGUCUGAGAGUAGGCUGCUUGGAGCUGAGUGUAUGCAGAGGUUGUGGUUAUUGGUGCUGUCAAAGUCUAUGGUAUGACCAAAGGAGGGAAAGCUAAGGUGGGUUAAAGAACAAGAUCACUGGAGAAGAGGUCAUAGAAACCAAACACCAGAGCAUUGAUUGGAUGAUCCAUGAGGAUACUGAAAUCACCAAAAAAUAUAACAAGAAUGAUGUUGGAGAAAGCCAGAAGCAACAAUCUUGAAAAGGCUUGGAGGUUGGUGGACUAUGGAAAUUAUGUUAGACAAAAAACAAAUGCAAGCAGUUUUCUUAUUCGAGUUCAAAAUGGGCUGCAAAGCAGCAGAGACAACUUGCAACAUCAAGAGUGCAUUUGGCCCAGGAACUGCUAAUGAACGUACAGUGCAGUGGUGGUUCAAGAAGUUUUGCAAAGGAUGGCCAGGCGCAGCAGCUCACACCUAUAAUCCCAGCACUUUGGGAGGCCAAGGCAUCCGGA
rnacentral:lncRNA from 1 species